CUACGGGAGGCAGCAGUAGGGAAUUUUGCGCAAUGGGCGAAAGCCUGACGCAGCAACGCCGCGUGAGUGAUGAAGGCCUUCGGGUCGUAAAGCUCUGUUGAGUGGGAAGAAACUUCUCAUGGAUAACACCCAUGAGGACUGACGGUACCACUUGAGGAAGCCCCGGCUAACUACGUGCCAGCAGCCGCGGUAAUACGUAGGGGGCAAGCGUUGUUCGGAAUCACUGGGCGUAAAGGGAGCGUAGGCGGGAAUCCAAGUUGGGAGUGAAAUUUACAGGCUCAACCUGUGACUUGCUUCCAAUACUGUUUUCCUUGAGUAUGGGAGAGGGCGAUGGAAUUCCAGGUGUAGCGGUGGAAUGCGUAGAUAUCUGGAAGAACACCAGUUGCGAAGGCGGUCGCCUGGCCUAAUACUGACGCUGAGGCUCGAAAGCUAGGGGAGCGAACAGGAUUAGAUACCCCGGUAGC
rnacentral:rRNA from 1 species